AGAGUAUUAAUUUAAUGGUAGAAUAAAGCACUACGGAUGUUUAAAUUGUAGUUCAAGUCUACAAUACUCUU
rfam:Triticum urartu cultivar G1812 contig358826, whole genome shotgun sequence.